GACAGAGGGUGCAAACGUUGUUCGGAAUUACUGGGCGUAAAGCGCGUGUAGGCGGCAAGGCAAGUCGGAUGUGAAAGCCCACGGCUCAACCGUGGAAGUGCACCCGAAACUGCCUAGCUAGAGUCUCGGAGAGGAAGGUGGAAUGCUUGGUGUAGAGGUGAAAUUCGUAGAUAUCAAGCGGAACACCGGUGGCGAAGGCGGCCUUCUGGACGAUGACUGACGCUGAGACGCUAAAGCGUGGGGAGCAAACAGG
rnacentral:rRNA from 1 species